GGAGAGGUGGCAGAAUGGUAAUGCACCGGACUCGAAAUCCGGCGAACGGUCUACUGGAUCGUGCGCGGGUUUAAAUCCCGUCCUCUCCU
rnacentral:tRNA from 1 species